UAGGGAAUCUUUGGCAAUGGACGAAAGUCCGACCGAGCACCGCCGCGUGAGUGAAGAAGGUUUUCGGAUCGUAAAACUCUGUUGUUAGAGAAGAACAAGGACGUUAGUAACUGAACGUCCCCUGACGGUAUCUAACCAGAAAGCCACGGCUAACUACGUGCCAGCAGCCGCGGUAAUACGUAGGUGGCAAGCGUUGUCCGGAUUUAUUGGGCGUAAAGCGAGCGCAGGCGGUUUCUUAAGUCUGAUGUGAAAGCCCCCGGCUCAACCGGGGAGGGUCAUUGGAAACUGGGAGACUUGAGUGCAGAAGAGGAGAGUGGAAUUCCAUGUGUAGCGGUGAAAUGCGUAGAUAUAUGGAGGAACACCAGUGGCGAAGGCGGCUCUCUGGUCUGUAACUGACGCUGAGGCUCGAAAGCGUGGGGAGCAAACAGG
rnacentral:rRNA from 1 species